AACGAACGCUGGCGGCAUGCCUAACACAUGCAAGUCGAACGAGACCUUCGGGUCUAGUGGCGCACGGGUGCGUAACGCGUGGGAAUCUGCCCUUGGCUUCGGAAUAACAGUUAGAAAUGACUGCUAAUACCGGAUGAUGUCUUCGGACCAAAGAUUUAUCGGCCAGGGAUGAGCCCGCGUAGGAUUAGGUAGUUGGUGGGGUAAAGGCCUACCAAGCCGACGAUCCUUAGCUGGUCUGAGAGGAUGAACAGCCACACUGGGACUGAGACACGGCCCAGACUCCUACGGGAGGCAGCAGUGGGGAAUAUUGGACAAUGGGCGCAAGCCUGAUCCAGCAAUGCCGCGUGAGUGAUGAAGGCCUUCGGGUCGUAAAGCUCUUUUACCCGGGAUGAUAAUGACAGUACCGGGAGAAUAAGCUCCGGCUAACUCCGUGCCAGCCGCCGCAGGUAA
rnacentral:rRNA from 1 species